GCAGCUUGUUUCCCUACACCUACCCAGGGAGCCUGCUGUGUGAAGCUGAGGGAGCAGCAAAGAGGAAUAGAAGGACAAGAGAAAGUAGAGGCUGUGAGUGACAGCAGGUGACAGGCUGACAGUUCACACUUGUGUCACAGAGAAGCUCCGUGAUAAUAGCAGAAAGUCAUCUUAUCAGCUGCUGGAGAACACCGUGGGCAGGGAGGACUUACAAUACCUUCUUUAUGAUUUUAAAUAUUAAUCAGGAUUAGUAAUACCUGAGUGUUGAUACAGAAUGUCCUGCGAUAGCAGAGACACUGCUGGGCACCCAGGGUAUAACCGCAGUGGACAGGUUCGAGGCUCCACUUCCCAGCUUAGCAGUCCAAAUGGAAAUAGGAAAUCCGCAGCAUUGCUGGAAGUCCAGGGGAGCCUAAGCAAUAUGCAGUAUUCUUCUGUGGCACUGGAUUCAGAAACCCUGGUGAAUAACGGAUCUGGGAUUCCCCGUAAACCUGAGAAAGGCACAAAUACUGCAGCCUUGACAGAAAGUGAAGUCCGCAGGGCCUGUACAACAAAAUGUUUCCAUAGCCAUUAUCUAACUAAAACUAGUACGCAGGGAGAUGUCUACAACUUCCUGGAGAGGCCCAGUGGAUGGAAGUGUUUUAUCUAUCAUUUUACUGUCUUUCUCUUGGUGCUGAUUUGUUUAAUAUUCAGUGUACUAUCUACUAUAGAGCAUUAUUCUGAAUUUGCCACUGGAACC